GAAUCGAAAACUUCCCGUGUUUAUGUAUACGUUCGUAAACUUUGCGUUUGCCUCUCCGGCGUUAUCGUCAAAUUUCUUCUUCCGAUAAAUAACUUUCCGUUUAGAAAAUUUCAUUUAACCUUAGUUCUAGAUAACACGGAAUUUCGAUUUCCUUUCUGCCGCCGAUCGAUAAUACAAUUAAACAGAUAUUCGAACAGAUGGAUCGAUUUCUCUAGUAACGCGCGUUACGUUCAUCGUAAUUAAAACGAAGUUUCUCGAUUUCUAUGAAAUGCAUAUUUCUCAUUCGAUGAAUAGUUCUUCGCGCGUUCGAUUUAUCGUAAUCGCAAUACUGCUCGCUUUUGUAGAUCGUUCCUGUUUAAUUACAUAGUACCAGCUCUAUUAGUAAUAGGUAUCUAUUUUUAUCUUUACCUGUCGUUAUGUAAAUCGUGAAACAUCCAUGUGUAGCUAACAUCGCGGAUAAAGCUAUCGUUAGUAACGCUUAUACUAGGAAAUCCGUCGAUGCAAUUUGCAUUCGUAGUACUUUUAAUUUCGACGGGAAUUCCAUCACGUAGCGGGUUCAUCGACUCCGAAACAUUUGCAAUUUUAAUAUCGUCGAACCGUUCGAACACGAUACGCUUUAGAAUCGACCGUGUCGCGUCGAUUAUUUUAUCUUUCUUUCGUUAUGGCGAUUCCUUCGCUUUUCGUUUAACGUCGCCAUGUCUGUACGACGAGACUUUAUAAAUCCUAAACUGUGAUUCUAACGCAAGGAAAGCCUGCUUCAUUUAUUUCGUUACAUUCUCGCGGAUAACGAUCGACCAAAUCGUUCGAGCACGACCAUCUCACCGAUUUAUCGUUCUUUGUCGAUCGAUUUUUACCCAACUGGAUGUCGGUAAUUCGAAAUUUCCUGAACAUCACCCAAUCGAUUAACUUUGAUCGAGUUGACUUUUCCUCUAUAUAUGCGUGACACGAACGCUACGUGUAUCAAAUUUCACACCUUAUCUUUCUCUAAUCGCGUGUAUUUUUAGUAGAAUUUUUAUACUUGGACGCCAAUUUCUCUCGCUUGAAAAGAUGGAACACUUUAUGCCGACUUACCUCUGGCACCGUUGUCUCGUAUGGCGUGUUAAUGAAUUUUGGCGCAUUAUCAUUUAUAUCUGAC